AUACUUACCAGGCAGGGAAGAUACCACGAUCAUGAAGGUGGUUUUCCCAGGGUGAGGCUUACUCAUUGCACUCCAGAUGUGCUGAACCCUGUGAUUUCCCCAAAUGUGGGAAAUUCUACUGUAUAAUUUGUGGUAGUAGAGGAUUAUGUUUGCACUCUCCCCUG